GUUACAGCAAGCAUAUUUAUUAAUAGAAAUUAAAAUUAGCAAUAACAAAAUUUAACGUCACCAAUCUCUCAGAUUACAUACAACAAGUGUUGGUUAUCAUCAAAACGUGUAUUUACAAGUAGACACAAUCGUAUAGGGCGGGUCAAUGCAAUAACAGCAACUAUCUGGAAUGUAAGCAACAACAGAUACGCCCACUUUUGCACACACACACACACACACUCACACCCUACGGACCGACUGAGUUAUCGAUCAGUCGAUCGGCGUUCCCUCAUCAAAAGCAUUUAACAAGUGACCAGGCUCAAAGGUUGCCAUGACGGUUGAGGAUGUUUUGCAAAACUGGAAAGUUUUCCCCAUGACGCAUCUUCGUCUAAGCAAUAACAUAAAAUCGGAUUUAACAAAACAAACAGAGAAAUGCGUUCUGUCAUUACGGGUCGCUGUCAAAGGGUCAUCAGCAAUAACUACGUCAAUGUGACGGAACACAGAGACAAGACACAUCAAUUAAUAUGUCACACAUAUGUGUACAUACAUUUGCAUGCACAUAGUACCUUCGAGACCUGAUAACAUGGUCGAGAGUAAAGUACAAAAUUCCAAAGCUUUACUUUUUUUGAUUAAAGAAACAUUUUUGUUGAAUUUAAUAA